UGUGCGGUUUAAUUGGAUUCAACCCCGGAAAACUCCCCAGUGCCGACGGACAGAUGAAAGCCAGUGUGAUGAGCUUGCUGGAUUGUUCGAGAGGUAGUGCAUGGCCCCCCGUUCAGUUCGUACCGUAAGGCGUUCUGUUAAGUCAGAUAACGAACGAGACCNUCAUCCCUAUUUGCUAAGGUUUCUCCCCUUCGGGGCGAGAUCACAGGACUAUAGGGAGACCGCUGGCGAGAAGUCAGAGGAAGGUGAGGGCAACGGUAGGUCAGUAUGCUCCGAAUGCACUGGGCUACACGCGCAAUACAAAGGACGGGACAAUGGGCCGCUGCUCCGAGAGGAAAGAUGGCUAUCCCGAAACCCGUUCGUAGUUCGGAUUGAGGGCUGUAACUCGCCCUCAUGAAGCUGGAUUAGGUAGUAAUCGCGUCUCAAAAAGGCGCGGUGAAUAUGCCCCUGCUCCUUGCACACACCGCCCGUCAAACCAUCUUAGUUGGGGGUGGGUGAGGCUGCCUUUUAGUGGGGUAUUCGAGCCUGCCUUCGACAAGGAGGGUUAAGUCGUAACAAGGUA
rnacentral:rRNA from 1 species